rnacentral:lncRNA from 1 species
CCUAUGUGUAGCAGCCUGGGUCAUCUUGGGCUCUUUGGUGCCGGUCGAUCUCCCCGCUGUCUCUGGACUGUCUGUCAGCCGUUGUGGACACCCCUCUUCUCUCAUGGACCCGUAGUAAGCCAUAGGACAAAGGCUGAGGGGUUGGCAUGGGCAUUGCCCAGGUACAGGGGCUCCUGGAAUGUUCCUCCCUGGAGACCUGAGAUCCCCCAAAAUAGCAGCAGUUCAUCAGGGGGUAGAUUUUCCCCUCCUGGGAAACAGAUGGAAUUGAAAGACUGGGAAUUCACUGUUGUCCUGAAGCAACAUCCACUGGGUCCAUGAGUUCUCUUGUUGAAGACACGACCUGUCCUAACUACUGAAUGAGACCAGCCAGAAGUAUCCAAUCAUGAGGAUCAAUCCCAGAGUGUGUGGAGGAACAGCUGUGCUCAUGGAGAUGAGUCUGUGGCAGCAGCCAGGCUUCUGUCUCUGCUCACCAUGCCCACCACUACAGUGACUUCCAAAAUCCCUGUGGGGAAUGUAGAACUAGAAGAGUUAAGUGGUCACAUCACAAGAAGACUAACUUCACAACACACUCCAAAUUCCUUUGUUUUUAACAAUAAGCAAAGUGCUCUCCACGAUUAACCGCAUUCACCUUGAAGAGCUUGGACAUUAGCUCCCAAGACUUGUCUAAGCAUUUUCUCAGUGUCUUAUGUAAGAAUCCCUACUCUACUGAUCAUAGCACAUCAUAGGCUUCAUAGCACAAAACAAAGAUAUUUAAUGCAAAUGUCCAGCAGUAAGUGGAAAUGGAGCCAAAUGUCUUUUUCUUGUUUGAGUUAUUAAUGUUUUUCUUUUAAUGUAUUCAGUAUUCUAGAAACAUGGGGCAUAAAAUGUUUUAGGCAAUUUUAUGUGAAAGUGGUGUCCAAGCCAAGAAAAUGCAAAUCAUAAUUAUGCCUAAAUGCUUUCAUUCUAACAUGUAAUCCUG